rnacentral:rRNA from 1 species
AACGAACGCUGGCGGCAUGCCUAACACAUGCAAGUCGAACGAGACCUUCGGGUCUAGUGGCGCACGGGUGCGUAACGCGUGGGAACCUGCCUUUAGGUUCGGAAUAACUCAGAGAAAUUUGAGCUAAUACCGGAUAAUGUCUUCGGACCAAAGAUUUAUCGCCUUUAGAUGGGCCCGCGUAAGAUUAGCUAGUUGGUGGGGUAAAGGCCUACCAAGGCGACGAUCUUUAGCUGGUCUGAGAGGAUGAUCAGCCACACUGGGACUGAGACACGGCCCAGACUCCUACGGGAGGCAGCAGUGGGGAAUAUUGGACAAUGGGCGAAAGCCUGAUCCAGCAAUGCCGCGUGAGUGAUGAAGGCCUUAGGGUUGUAAAAGCUCUUUUACCCGAGAUGAUAAUGACAGUAUCGGGAGAAUAAGCUCCGGCUAACUCCGUGCCAGCAGCCGCGGAAU